AUUGAACGCUGGCGGCAGGCUUAACACAUGCAAGUCGAGCGGGGUGAUGGUGCUUGCACUAUCACUUAGCGGCGGACGGGUGAGUAAUGCUUAGGAAUCUGCCUAUUAGUGGGGGACAACAUCUCGAAAGGGAUGCUAAUACCGCAUACGUCCUACGGGAGAAAGCAGGGGAUCACUUGUGACCUUGAGCUAAUAGAUGAGCCAAAGUCGGAUUAGCUAGUUGGUGGGGUAAAGGCCUACCAAGGCGACGAUCUGUAGCGGGUCUGAGAGGAUGAUCCGCCACACUGGGACUGAGACACGGCCCAGACUCCUACGGGAGGCAGCAGUGGGGAAUAUUGGACAAUGGGGGGAACCCUGAUCCAGCCAUGCCGCGUGUGUGAAGAAGGCCUUAUGGUUGUAAAGCACUUUAAGCGAGGAGGAGGCUCUUUUAGUUAAUACCCAAGAUGAGUGGACGUUACUCGCAGAAUAAGCACCGGCUAACUCUGUGCCAGCAGCCGCCGUAA
rnacentral:rRNA from 1 species